rnacentral:rRNA from 1 species
CAGUAGCCGCGGGAAUACAGAGGGUGCGAGCGUUAAUCGGAUUUACUGGGCGUAAAGCGUGCGUAGGCGGCUUUUUAAGUCGGAUGUGAAAUCCCUGAGCUUAACUUAGGAAUUGCAUUCGAUACUGGGAAGCUAGAGUAUGGGAGAGGAUGGUAGAAUUCCAGGUGUAGCGGUGAAAUGCGUAGAGAUCUGGAGGAAUACCGAUGGCGAAGGCAGCCAUCUGGCCUAAUACUGACGCUGAGGUACGAAAGCAUGGGGAGCAAACAGGAUUAGAUACCCGCGUAGUCCCUGUCUAUUAUAA